UGCUUGGAAGCAGCAAUUCAUUUAAAGAGUGCGUAACAGCUCACUAGUCGAGUGACCGAGCGCGGAAAAUAAUCGGGCAUCAAACAUAGUGCCGAAGCUAUAGGAUACGUAAGUAUCGGUAGGGGAGCAUUCUGACCUGCAUCGAAGGCGAUUCGUAAGGAUCUCUGGAGCGGUCAGAAAAGAAAAUGUAGGCAUAAGUAACGAUAAAAAAAAUGAAAAAUUUUUUCGCCGUAAGUCUAAGGAUUCCUGAUCAACGCUAAUCGAAUCAGGGUUAGUCGGGUCCUAAGGUGUAACCCGAGAGGGGCAACCGAUGGAAAGCUGGUUAAUAUUCCAGCACCUGCUUAUAUUGCGAUGGGGUGACGAAGGUGUGAAAGUACCGCGGGGUUACGGAAUAUCCCGUUAAAGCGUGUAGAUAUUGAUAGAGUAGGCAAAUCCGCUCUUGAAUCGAACGUGAUAGUACUCAAGGUUUUCGAACUGAGAGAUAGUGUACCUAAUCAGACUUCCUAGAAAAACCUCUAAGCUUCAGGUAUAAGCAGCCCGUACCGUAAACCGACACAGGUAGACGAGGAGAGUAUCCUCAGGCGCUCGAGUGAGUCACGGCUAAGGAACUCGGCAAAAUGGACCCGUAACUUCGGGAGAAGGGUCGCCCCAGCAAUGGGGCCGCAGUGAAAAGUAUCAGGCGACUGUUUAACAAAAACACAGGGCUCUGCAAAAUCGAAAGAUGAAGUAUAGGGCCUGACACCUGCCCGGUGCUGGAAGGUUAAGGAAGGUUGUUAGCCGCAAGGCAAAGCUUCCGACUGAAGCCCCAGUAAACGGCGGCCGUAACUAUAACGGUCCUAAGGUAGCGAAAUUCCUUGUCGGGUAAGUUCCGACCUGCACGAAUGGUGUAACGAUCUGAUAACUGUCUCAGCCGUGAGCUCGGUGAAAUUGUAGUCCCGGUGAAGAUGCCGGGUACCCGUAACGGGACGGAAAGACCCCGUGAACCUUCACUACAACUUUGCAUUGACUUUGAGUAAACGAUGUGUAGCAUAGGUGGGAGACUUUGAAGCGGGCACGCUAGUGUUCGUGGAGUCAACGUUGAAAUACCACCCUUUGUUUACUUAGAGCCUAACUCCCAAAGGGAGGACAUUGCAUGGUGGGUAGUUUGACUGGGGUGGUCGCCUCCAAAAGAGUAACGGAGGCUUUCAAAGGUGCCCUCAGCACGCUUGGUAACCGUGCGCAGAGUGUAUUAGCAUAAGGGCGCUUGACUGUGAGACCGACGGGUCGAGCAGGUACGAAAGUAGGAUAAAGUGAUCCGGUGGUUCUGCAUGGAAGGGCC
rnacentral:rRNA from 1 species